rnacentral:rRNA from 1 species
UACGUAGGGUGCAAGCGUUGUCCGGAAUUAUUGGGCGUAAAGAGCUCGUAGGCGGCUUGUCACGUCGGGUGUGAAAGCCCGGGGCUUAACCCCGGGUCUGCAUUCGAUACGGGCUAGCUAGAGUGUGGUAGGGGAGAUCGGAAUUCCUGGUGUAGCGGUGAAAUGCGCAGAUAUCAGGAGGAACACCAAUGGCGAAGGCAGCACUCUGGGACGGUACUGACGCUGAGACGCGAAAGCGUGGGGAGCAAACAGG